rnacentral:rRNA from 1 species
AGAUGGAAACGUCUGCUAAUACCCUAUAUUCCUUAUUAGCAAAAGUGUGUAAGGGAAAGAUUUAUUGCUAAAAGAUUGGCCUAUAUUGUAUCAGCUAGUUGGUAGUGUAAUGGACUACCAAGGCUAUGACGCAUAACUGGUUUGAGAGGAUGAUCAGUCACACUGGAACUGAGACACGGUCCAGACUCCUACGGGAGGCAGCAGUGGGGAAUAUUGCACAAUGGGGGAAACCCUGAUGCAGCAACGCCGCGUGGAGGAUGACACAUUUCGGUGCGUAAACUCCUUUUAUAUAGGAAGAUAAUGACGGUACUAUAUGAAUAAGCACCGGCUAACUCCGUGCCAGCAGCCGCGGUAAUACGGAGGGUGCAAGCGUUACUCGGAAUCACUGGGCGUAAAGAGCGUGUAG